rnacentral:tRNA from 1 species
AUAGCUCAACUGGUAGAGCACAUGACUUGCAUUCUUGAAGUUCCUGGUUCGAUUCCUAGU